rnacentral:lncRNA from 1 species
CCGGGCCAGACCAUGGACAUCCCCUAGCAAGGCGGUUCAGAACUCUUGCCUCCUUUUGGCACGAUGGCCAGCAGGGAUCCAGAACGUUUCGUAAUGUGGGUGCUUUCCCCUCCCUGGUCCCACAUGUGUGCAAAGCACGACUGAGAAAUGAACUGUGUGGUCUGAAGUCACUGAGCUGUUGGGCCUGUUUGUCUCUGCAGUACAACCUAGCUUCUCCUGACCAUGGUGAAUCACACCUUCCUUUUACAGGGUCUCUUAAGAUUGUUCUGCAGUUCCCAGAGAGCCAGGACCACAGCCCCUCCGCAAGGGGAGACUCCAGGGAGAGCCAGCCCGCACCGCUGGAGGCACCUCCACGCCAGCCUCAGCACUUUCUGGCCUGACCAGUUAACUCAACACUUACUCUACAUUAAAUACCAAUCGGACCAAUUUUCUGCUGUAAUUAAACCUCUGCAGAUGCGUUACUUGCUCAGCAGUGAUGAGUUUAUUAACCUCAUUUCCUUCCUGUGGGGGCAGGGAAGAAAGUAGAACAAAAAAAAAACAAAAAAGAGUUCGCCAUGAAUUUGGGUGAAGAGAUGCCAGGAGAGACUGGGUUUUGGAGCUAGCACAGUUUCUU